rnacentral:rRNA from 1 species
UACGUAGGGUGCGAGCGUUAAUCGGAAUUACUGGGCGUAAAGCGUGCGCAGGCGGUUUGCUAAGACAGGUGUGAAAUCCCCGGGCUUAACCUGGGAACUGCGCUUGUGACUGGCAGGCUAGAGUACGGUAGAGGGGGGUGGAAUUCCUGGUGUAGCAGUGAAAUGCGUAGAUAUCAGGAGGAACACCGAUGGCGAAGGCAGCCCCCUGGGCCUGUACUGACGCUCAUGCACGAAAGCGUGGGGAGCAAACAGGAUUAGAUA